GCCGCAGUGGCUCAGUGGUUGAGCAUUUACCUAUGAACCAGGAGGUCAGGGUUUGAUUCCCUGUCAGGGCU
rfam:Myotis brandtii contig172453, whole genome shotgun sequence.